CAGCAGCCACGGGAAUACGAAGGGUGCAAGCGUUAAUCGGAAUUACUGGGCGUAAAGCGUGCGUAGGCGGUUUGUUAAGUCUGUUGUGAAAUCCCCGGGCUCAACCUGGGAAUGGCAAUGGAUACUGGCAGGCUAGAGUAUGAUAGAGGAUGGUGGAAUUCCCGGUGUAGCGGUGAAAUGCGUAGAGAUCAGGAGGAACAUCAGUGGCGAAGGCGGCCAUCUGGAUCAACACUGACGCUGAGGCACGAAAGCGUGGGGAGCAAACAGGAUUAGAGACCCCCGUAGUCCCUGUCUCUUAUAC
rnacentral:rRNA from 1 species